rnacentral:rRNA from 1 species
AUUGAACGCUGGCGGCAGGCUUAACACAUGCAAGUCGAGCGGUAACAGAGAGAAGCUUGCUUCUCUGCUGACGAGCGGCGGACGGGUGAGUAAUGCCUAGGAAUCUGCCUAGUAGUGGGGGAUAACUUGCCGAAAGGUAAGCUAAUACCGCAUACGUCCUACGGGAGAAAGGAGGGGACCUUCGGGCCUUUCGCUAUUAGAUGAGCCUAGGCCGGAUUAGUUAGUUGGUGAGGUAAUGGCUCACCAAGACCGCGAUCCGUAACUGGUCUGAGAGGAUGAUCAGUCACACUGGAACUGAGACACGGUCCAGACUCCUACGGGAGGCAGCAGUGGGGAAUAUUGGACAAUGGGGGGAACCCUGAUCCAGCCAUGCCGCGUGUGUGAAGAAGGUCUUAGGAUUGUAAAGCACUUUAAGUUGGGAGGAAGAGCAGUUAACUAAUAUUUGACUGUUUUGACGUUACCGACAGAAUAAGCACCGGCUAACUUCGUG